rnacentral:rRNA from 1 species
CGUAGGUAACCUGCCUGGUAGCGGGGGAUAACUAUUGGAAACGAUAGCUAAUACCGCAUAAGAGUAGAUGUUGCAUGACAUUUGCUUAAAAGGUGCAAUUGCAUCACUACCAGAUGGACCUGCGUUGUAUUAGCUAGUUGGUGAGGUAACGGCUCACCAAGGCAACGAUACAUAGCCACCUGAGAGGGUGAUCGGCCACACUGGGACUGAGACACGGCCCAG